rnacentral:rRNA from 1 species
CUACGGGUUGCUGCAGUGGGGAAUAUUGCACAAUGGAGGAAACUCUGAUGCAGCAACGCCGCGUGGAGGAUGACGCUUUUCGGAGCGUAAACUCCUUUUAUAUAGGAAGAAGAUGACGGUACUUUAUGAAUAAGCGCCGGCUAACUCCGUGCCAGCAGCCGCGGUAAUACGGAGGGCGCAAGCGUUACUCGGAAUCACUGGGCGUAAAGAGCGUGUAGGCGGAUUAAAAAGUCAGAAGUGAAAUCCUAUAGCUUAACUAUAGAACUGCUUCUGAAACUCUUAAUCUAGAAUAUGGGAGAGGUAGAUGGAAUUUCUGGUGUAGGGGUAAAAUCCGUAGAGAUCAGAAGGAAUACCGAUUGCGAAGGCGAUCUACUAGAACAUUAUUGACGCUGAGACGCGAAAGCGUGGGGAGCAAACAGGAUUAGAUACCCCCGUAGUC